rnacentral:rRNA from 1 species
CAGCCGCCGCGGUAAUACGAAGGGUGCAAGCGUUAAUCGGAAUUACUGGGCGUAAAGCGUGCGUAGGCGGUGAGUUAAGUCUGCUGUGAAAUCCCCGGGCUCAACCUGGGAAUGGCAGUGGAUACUGGCUCGCUAGAGUGUGUCAGAGGAUGGUGGAAUUCCCGGUGUAGCGGUGAAAUGCGUAGAUAUGCGGAGGAACACCGAUGGCGAAGGCAGCCCCCUGGGCCAACACUGACGCUCAUGCACGAAAGCGUGGGGAGCAAACAGGAUUAGAUACCCCCGUAGUCCCUGUCUCUUAUAC